rnacentral:rRNA from 1 species
GACGAACGCUGGCGGCGUGCUUAACACAUGCAAGUCGAACGGAAAGGCCCUGCUUUUGUGGGGUGCUCGAGUGGCGAACGGGUGAGUAACACGUGAGUAACCUGCCCUUGACUUUGGGAUAACUUCAGGAAACUGGGGCUAAUACCGGAUAGGAGCUCCUGCUGCAUGGUGGGGGUUGGAAAGUUUCGGCGGUUGGGGAUGGACUCGCGGCUUAUCAGCUUGUUGGUGGGGUAGUGGCUUACCAAGGCUUUGACGGGUAGCCGGCCUGAGAGGGUGACCGGCCACAUUGGGACUGAGAUACGGCCCAGACGCCUACGGGAGGCAGCAGUGGGGAAUAUUGCACAAUGGGCGGAAGCCUGAUGCAGCAACGCCGCGUGCGGGAUGACGGCCUUCGGGCUGUAAACCGCUUUCGCCUGUGACGAAGCGUGAGUGACGGUAAUGGGUAAAGAAGCACCGGCUAACUACGUG